AAUUAACGCUGGCAGAGUGCAUAACACAUGCAAGUCGAGCGAGGGGGAUAGAGUAUCAUUUCCUUAGCGGCAGACGAGUGAGUAACACGUAAGCAACCUGCCCCCGAAUGGCGAACAACCAGCCGAAAGGUUGGCUAAUACGCCGUACAGUCCCUGGAAGGCAUCUUUUGGGGAUGAUAGGCCCGCAAGGGUCGAUCGGGGAGGGGCUUGCGGCCCAUCAGCUAGUUGGCGGGGUAACAGCCCACCAAGGCUAUGACGGGUACCCGGCCUGAAAGGG
rnacentral:rRNA from 1 species